rnacentral:sRNA from 1 species
UCCUGGGCCAGCGUGAUGGAUGCACGUGUCACAGGCGGGAGGAAAAAGGACAGUUGGGCUCAGAAAAAGGGGCUGCCACGCCCCGGCCCCUGCAAGGGCUCAGCCCCAGGAGGCAGGGCAGCAUUGUUAGUUGCCAAGGAGCUGAGUAGGGCUGUCCCUCGGGUCGCCGCGCGCCCUGGCACCCCGGCACCCCUGCGCGCCCUCCCGGAGCAGUAACGCGCUUUGCUCUCUGUGUUGCAGUUCAGCAGGAGCGCAGACCCCCCCGCGUACCAGCAGGGCCAGAACCAGCUCUAUAACGAGCUCAAUCUAGGACGAAGAGAGGAGUACGAUGUUUUGGACAAGAGACGUGGCCGGGACCCUGAGAUGGGGGGAAAGCCGAGAAGGAAGAACCCUCAGGAAGGCCUGUACAAUGCACUGCAGAAAGAUAAGAUGGCGGAGGCCUACAGUGAGAUUGGGAUGAAAGGCGAGCGCCGGAGGGGCAAGGGGCACGAUGGCCUUUACCAGGGUCUCAGUACAGCCACCAAGGACACCUAUGAUGCCCUUCACAUGCAGGCCCUGCCCCCUCGCUAACAGCCAGGGGAUUUCACCACUCAAAGGCUAGACCUGCAGACGCCCAGAUUAUGAGACACAGGAUGAAGCAUUUACAACCCGGUUCACUCAUCUUCUCAGCCACUGAAGUAUUCCCCUUUAUGUACAGGAUGCUUUGGUCAUAUUUAGCUCCAAACCAUCACACACAGACUGUUGUCCCUGCACUCUUUAAGGGAGUGUACCCCCAGGGCUUACAGCCCUGGCCUUGGGCCCUCUGGUUUGCUGGUGGUGCAGGUAGACCUGUUUCCUGGCGGUUCCUCGUUCUCCCUGGGAGGCCGGCACACUGCCUCUUACAGCUGAGUUGUUGAGUCUGUUUUGUAAAGUUCCCAGAGAAAGCGCAAAUGCUAGCACAUGCCCUAAUGUCUGUAUCAUUCUGUCAGUGUCUGAGUGGCUUCACUCCUGCUGUAAAUUUGGCUUCUGUUGUCACCUUCACCUCCUUUCAAGGUAACUGUACUGGGCCAUGUUGUGCCUCCCUGACGAGAGGGCCGGGCAGAGGG